rnacentral:rRNA from 1 species
GACGAACGCUGGCGGCGUGCUUAACACAUGCAAGUCGAACGGAAAGGCCCUGCUUUUGUGGGGUGCUCGAGUGGCGAACGGGUGAGUAACACGUGAGUAAGCUGCCCUUGACUUUGGGAUAACUUCAGGAAACUGGGGCUAAUACCGGAUAGGAGCUCCUGCUGCAUGGUGGGGGUGGGAAAGUUUCGGCGGUUGGGGAUGGACUCGCGGCUUAUCAGUUUGUUGGUGGGGUAGUGGCUUACCAAGGCUUUGACGGGUAGCCGGCCUGAGAGGGUGAACGGACACAUUGGGACUGAGAUACGGCCCAGACUCCUACGGGAGGCAGCAGUGGGGAAUAUUGCACAAUGGGCGGAAGCCUGAUGCAGCAACGCCGCGUGCGGGAUGACGGCCUUCGGGUUGUAAACCGCUUUCGCCUGUGACGAAGCGUGAGUGACGGUAAUGGGUAAAGAAGCACCGGCUAACUACGUG